UUCGGCCACAUAGCUUGUCAGUACGGAAAGUUGUAAAGUCUCCACAUUCACUUUAACUACCAGAUCCUGCUCUGUUAAACAUCUUGCUGGAUCAGGAUCGUGUUCUGAAUGCUCAAGGAUUCGCCGCCACAAACGUGGGUCAAAGUGAGAUGGAGGCCAAGAAAAUUGCCAAGGGUGAAUACACGAUCUUGCCAAGGGUGAAUACACGAUGUCUUCGGGACUCCUGAAACUUGUGUUGGUUCAGAGAAAUGGCGAUGUCUACUUCAAACAUCAUUGUUCCGCGAGCGUCUCAUUGGAAUGGUUGUCGAUGAGGUCCACACCGUGGUUCAAUGGGAAAAGGCACAGGGGAAGGAGGCUGCUUUUCUGAAGUGGUGUGAAAUGGUUGGCGAGCUGGGGGUCACUCCUUCCAGUUCCAGUUCCUGAAUUGGCCGUCACAGCUACAGCUUCCAAGGCUACAAGGAAGAGCAUAAUGAAGCACCUGGGCAUGCAGUAAUGUGUUGAGGUGGUGAACAGUCCUGACAGGGACAACAUCAGACUGGCCGUGAAGAAGGUGUCGUUUGACCCUGUAGAGACGUUUUCAUGGUUGGAGUCAAAGGGGCCUGAUAUCCCAAGGACUGUCAUAUACUGUAAGAGAAUUGAAGACUGUUCUUUGCUGUACAACAAGGUUUUUCAGCAUUUCUCUGCAUCCAGCAGGAGCAAAGGACACACUGGAAAACAGACUUUUCGACAGAGAAACCCAAGCACAUAAAACUGCACAUUAUCGAAGCCUUGAAAGAUGAGUCAUCUAAUCUCAGAGUUGUGAUGGCUACUUCAGCACUGGGAAUGGGGGUAAACUUUAAGGGUGUCCAUCAUGUAGUCAACUAUGGACCACCUCUAGACCUUGAGUCUUACAUGAAGGCACAUGAAACAGCGGGGAGGGACGGCACAAGCUCACAUUCACUUAACCUGUAACAUGGAAGACAGCAUGUUGGAGUUUCAGAUAAGAUGAGACUGUAUGUGUCAAACAGUACCAGCUGCAGCCGGGUGAAACUGUUACAGCUCUUUGAUGAUGAGGUCACGCAAUCAAUAUCACCCAAACAUGACUGCUGUGACAAUUGUGCUACCUCAUUAACUAUUUCACGCUGGGAAAUUUUUUACAUGACACAGGGCAACAAUUACAACCAAGACAUACACUGGUCAGUGAAGGGCAUAGGCAAUACCUGAGAGAGGAAUUACAUGACCUUGCACUUGAGAUGGUGCACACAGGUGUUCAUGGUAGUGUCUCUGUUUAUUGCACAUCAGCCAAGUAGGGUAACCCUGACAAAAUCAUUGACAACAUUCUGAGUGCAAUUCCCUUAUCUCAAUUGAGGAUUCCCGUUACUGACAUGAGACAUACAAUAGCCCUACUGUCUAUCAUCACUGAGGUUUUGGGGGAUGAUGAACACUUGAGUGAUGAUGAUUAUGAUGAUGAUUCAGAGUUGGGACAACUUGGGGCUUUUGUAAACAUGACUGUGUAGUGUGUAUGAGGACUUUUACAUGCUGUGUUGAUUAAUACUGUAGGUAUUGUCUCAUCUGCCUAACACGUAAAAGGGUAUGUAGUCUAGGAUAUUAUUGUAGUGCAAACAGGCCCUUUUACCAUUUGAGCUGUAUGGAAUAGUAAAAUCUAUGCCAUACACACACUGUAAAUAAUUUAGCUUAAAGAUUUGUUCAAAUACUCAUUUUCAGUUAUCUAAAGUAUAGAGUGGGCCAAGAUGUGACCUGUCACCCAUAGUUACUUGUUCAUAAAGUGCAUUUUUGAAUCUAUCACUUUUCUCCUUCACUUGACUUCAAUAAAUAAUCCAGAUUUGGAAACAACAAUG